GGGGCUGACUUGGAUUUCGACAGAUUUCUUGUCGCACAGAUAGCAUGCCAAGUGCUGCUUGUAAAACAGCAACAAAAAUAACUGUAAACAACGCAGAUUACGCUCCAGCUUACGCUAAAGCUGCGUGAGUUAAUCUCCUUUUGGAGCUGGACUGAUUAGAAUUUCUAGCGUUUUAAUCACUCCAUAACCUUAAGCUAGACGCUUUUAAAAGGUGGUUCGCCUUUUAAACUAAGAAACAAGAACUCUUGAAACUACCUCAAGGUUUUAGAAAGUUGGACCAGAGCUAGUUUUAAGGCUAAAAAGCUAACCAAUUUUCUAAGCAUUGUAGAAGUUUGUGUUUAGGACAAGAUUUUUGGACUGGGGUUCGAUUCCCCACAGCUCCACCA
rnacentral:tmRNA from 1 species